UGUGUACUCCCUCCGUUCCAAAAUACUUGACUUCCAUUUGUCCAAAAAUGGAUGUACCUAUAUACUAAAACAUUUCUAGAUACAUAUAUAUAUUUUGACAAAUAGAAGGCAUGUAUUGUGCAACGGAGGGAGUAGAAU
rnacentral:pre_miRNA from 1 species